rnacentral:lncRNA from 1 species
AAGGAACUGUGUGUAACUUAUUAAGGAGGAAGAUCCAAAUUCGAAGAAAGGAGAAUUUGACCUAGCUGAGAAAAGCAACAACAAGAGUACUUUGCUUUCAGACAAGGAAACGACAAAAGGAGAAGUGAGUGUCUCAGCAAACAGGCCAAAGCCCAACAACAUUAAAAUGGUCUGGAAGCCCAAAACACUUUCUUCCCCAAAGUCCAGUGAGCCUAAAACACUGCAACGGUCACCUGCAAUCCAACAACAAAACAAAGAUAAGAUUGAUGCCAAGGAAACUACAAGGAAGCUGCCUAAAAGCAAAAGUAUCUCCAGCUGUCAAAGUCAAGAUAUUAUCUUGACUAAUAGAUUCAAAUGUUUGGAGGAUGAGGAUCAAAUGUUAACCUAAUCCUCUUAAUAUAUAUAUGAGACUGAUGUAAUCAAAACAGUAGAGUGAGAGCAAUAAUAAUGAAAAGUAUUUCAGUCUCCUUCAAUAUUUAUCUCUAAAGCUUACUUUCUUUAUGGUAUCAGAGCCAGGUUAAUCAAACCAUGGAUCUCUAUAAUUAUCCUAAACUAAAUAUCUCAAACUGUGUUACCCUAAAAUUAACACAAAAGAACUAUAUCUCUUGGAAAUCACAGUUUGAAUCCUUUUUGUCGGGUCAAGACUUACUUGGAUUUGUGAAUGGGUCAUCUCCUGCUCCUGCUGCAACGCUUCAAGUCCCUUAAGUUGGUGGAAUGGCUCUGACAGUUCCAAAUCCGGAUUACAGUGAAUGGUUUAGAGCAGAUCAGAUUGUGCGAGCUUGGCUUCUGGGGUCACUCUCUGAAGAAAUCUUGGCUGAAGUAACUGGCACAACAACAGCAAAGGAACUCUGGUCAGCUCUUGCAAAGCACUUCAACAAGGUAUCAUCUUCUCGCCUGUUUGAGCUACAAAGCAAACUACAAACAUCAGAAAAACAAGAUAGACCUAUGUCUGAGUACCUUAGGGAUAUCAAGAAUGUCUGUGAGCAACUUGCUUCUAUAGGGAAUCCUGUAUCAGAAAAAAUGAAGAUUUUUGCAGCUCUAAAAGGACUAGGUAGGGAAUAUGAACCCAUUAAGGUAUCUAUUGAAGGAAUGAUAGAUCUUUCACCUGGUCCAACUUUUGAGGAUGUUGCAUCUAGACUCAAAACAUAUGCUGAUAGGCUCUCAAGCUAUAAUGUUGGUGUGGAGAUCUCACCUCAUAUGGCCUUUUACACAAGUGAUUCUGGUAGAGGAAGAGGAAACUCUUACGGCAGAUCUGGUGGAUCCCGUGGAAGAGGAGGCUAUUACACUACAAAAGGAAGAGGCUUCCCUCAGCAAAUAACUCAGAGUUCCUCCUCUACUGGCUCCUACAACACAGAGAAUAAAGUGGUCUGUCAAAUCUGUGGGAAACCAGGACAUCCAGCUCUAAAGUGUUGGCAUAGAUUCAACAACAGUUACCAGUAUGAGGAGUUACCUGCUGCUUUAGCUGCAAUGAGGAUUACUGAUGUCACUGACCAGAAUGGACAUGAAUGGGUUGGAGACAGUGGUGCAACAGCUCACAUCACCAAUUCUCCUCAAAACCUGCAACAGUCACAGUCAUAUGGAGGGUCAGACUCAAUCAUGGUGGGAAAUGGAGAGUUCUUACCCAUAACACACACUGGUUCAACAAGUAUAUCAGCAAGCUCAGGUACUCUACCACUUAACGAUGUGUUAGUAUGUCCUAAUAUAGAGAAAUCACUGCUAUCAAUCUCUAAACUUACCAGUGAUUAUCCAUGCUCCAUUAACUUUGAUUGUGAUACUGUUCGUGUGAUUGAUAAGGCCACAAAGAGAAUGCUGGUACAGGGAAACAACAUUAAUGGUCUAUAUGUUCUGAAGGACAAGCCUAUUUACUCCUUCUACUCAAAUCGUCAAGUGUCUGCUCCUGAAGAUGUUUGGCAUAUGAGAUUGGGGCAUCCAAAUUCAGAAGUCCUUCAGCAUCUGUCAAAGAUCAAAGCAGUUAUCAUCAAUAAAAGCUCCAAAGGCAUCUGUGAAGCAUGUCAAUUUGGGAAAAGUUCAAGACUUCCUUUUGCUUCUUCUUGCACUACUACUUCCAGACCCUUGCAAAGAAUACACUGUGAUUUGUGGGGACCUGCACCAAUAAUGUCAGUGCAAGGAUUCAAAUACUAUGUUAUUUUUGUAGACAACUACUCUCGUUUUUGCUGGUUUUAUCCACUCAAGUUAAAGUCAGAUUUCAUGUCAGUCUUUCUUAUCUUUCAAGCACUAGUGGAAAAUUAGUUUCAACACAAAAUUGGGAGUUUUCAAUGUGAUGGUGGGGGUGAGUUCACAAGCAAUAAGUUCACAAAUCACCUACAACAACAUGGGAUUCAACAGUUAAUUUCUUGCCCUCAUACACCACAACAAAAUGGGCUAGCAGAGAGAAAACAUAGGCACCUGAUAGAGCUUGGUUUAGCUAUGAUCUGUCACAGCAGAGUUCCUCUCAAGUUUUGGGUUGAAGCCUUUUAUACAGCCAACUUUCUCAUCAACCUGCUGCCUACAUCAACUCUGGCAGAAAACAAGAGUCCCUUUGAAGUUCUGAAUGGACAACAACCAGAGUAUACGUCAUUAAGAACAUUUGGAUGCGCCUGUUAUCCCACUUUAAGAGACUAUGCUCAACACAAGUUUGAUCCAAGGUCAUUGAAGUGUGUAUUUCUAGGCUACAAUGAGAAAUACAAAGGUUAUAGAUGCUUACUCGUGGCAUCAGGGAGAGUGUACAUCAGCCGCCAUGUCCUGUUUGAUGAACAAGACUUUCCUUUUCACAGGUCUGCACCAACCCCGCAAAUGGUCUCAACACCUCUCCUUGCUGCCUGGUCCAAGAGUAUUCCCAUACCACCACCUGACAAGGCACCUGAUCAACAAGAUCUCAACAAGUCAGAAUGCUCACUCAUUACUCCUAUAUCUGGUAAUCUUAUAAAACCACCAGUUACCUCUGAAGCAUCCGUGGAUCCUUUACAGCUUGAGGCACAAACUAUUGUGAGAGAUGAGGAGAAUUCUGGGUGUACGGCAGGCUUUGAUCCUGAUCCUAUAGGCAACAGUUCUCCUUCAUCUUCUCAUAGUAGUGACAGUGCAGCUACUAUGUCCCCAACACUCAGCAAUUCACCUACAACAGAAACAGAACAAUAUGAGUCUGCUCAACAACAACAAGAAACAAAUGCAACAACAAGUCAAGUUAUACAAGAAGCAGCUCCAGUACAUCCCAUGAUCACAAGGUCUAAAGCAGGUAUCAGAAAACCUAAUCCCAGAUAUGUGCUGUUCACCUCCAGAGUAACAUAUCCAGAGCCAAAAACUGUUACUGCUGCCCUUAAAGAUUCUGGAUGGAAUGGAGCCAUGAAUGAGGAGUAUGAUAACUGCCAAGAAGCAGGAACAUGGUCCCUAAUCCCUAGAACACCAGACAUGCACAUUCUGGGUUGUAAAUGGGUAUUCCGUACAAAGCUCAAUGCAGAUGGAACACUAGAUAAACUCAAGGCAAGAUUGGUGGCCAAGGGCUUUGAUCAAGAAGAGGGUAUUGAUUAUCUUGAAACCUACAGCCCUGUAGUAAGAACACCUACAGUAAGAUCAGUUCUACAUCUUGCUACUAUUAUGGGUUGGGAAAUAAAACAAAUGGAUGUUAAAAAUGCAUUCUUACAUGGAGAUCUUACUGAAACUGUGUACAUGACACAACCUGCCGGCUUCAUUGAUCCUGCACAUCCAGAUUAUGUUUGUCAUCUGCACAAGUCACUGUAUGGUCUAAAACAAUCACCACGAGCAUGGUUUGAUAAGUUUAGCACUUAUCUUUUGGAGUUUGGCUUCGUCUGCAGCAUGUCAGACCCUUCUCUGUUCAUCUACACCAAAGGUAAAGCUAUUAUUCUGCUAUUACUAUAUGUGGAUGAUAUGGCUAUAACAGGGAAUAGUUUAGAAGUCUUAACUCAGCUGCUGGUAGAACUCAACAAACGGUUCCGCAUGAAAGAUCUGGGAAAGCUAAGUUACUUUCUAGGCAUACAGAUGCAAUAUCAUUCAGGGGGACUUUUCUUGUCUCAGCAAAAGUAUGCUGAAGACUUACUUGCCAUAGCUGGGAUGUUAGAUUGCGCCCCAAUGCCUACUCCACUGCCGCUGCAACCCCAUAAGGUAUCAGAUCAAGAUCAACAGUUUGAAAAUCCAACAUAUUUCAGAAGUUUGGCAGGCAAAUUAUAGUACCUCACGCUGACAAGGCCAGACAUUCAAUUUGCGGUGAACUUCGUGUGCCAGAAGAUGCACACGCCUACCGUCUCCGACUUUCAUCUCCUGAAAAGAAUUCUCCGAUAUAUUAAAGGAACAAUCACAAUGGGAAUUUCUUUCGACAAAGAUACUGACUGUACACUCCGAGCUUACAGUGAUAGCGACUAUGGGGGCUGUCUCUCCACUAGAAGAUCUACAGGUGGUUUUUGUACCUUUUUGGGAACGAAUUUUAUCUCCUGGCAAUCUCAAAAACAGCCAACGGUAGCAAAAAGCUCUACAGAAGCAGAAUAUAGAGCUUUGUCAGAAGCUGCAUCAGAAAUUACUUGGAUCUGCAAAAUACUGAAGGAACUCAACAUACCUCUCUACUGUCCUCCGGAGUUGUACUGUGAUAAUCUCUCCUCCGUCUAUUUGACAGCAAAUCCGGCCUUCCAUAAACGCAGCAAACACUUUCAGACACACUGGCACUAUGUACGGGAGCAGGUCGCCUUGGGGAAUCUUCGGGUUACUCAUAUACCAAACACUCUCCAGCUCGCUGACAUCUUCACAAAGUCGCUUUCGCCGGGCCCUUUUACUUCUCUUCGAUUCAAACUCGGUGUCGCUGUCCCACCUACUCCGAGUUUGAGGGGGACUAUUAAGGAGGAAGAUCCAAAUUCGAAGAAAGGAGAAUUUGACCUAGCUGAGAAAAGCAACAACAAGAGUACUUUGCUCUCAGACAAGGAAACGACAAAAGGAGAAGUGAGUGUCUCAGCAAACAGGCCAAAGCCCAACAACAUUAAAAUGGUCUGGAAGCCCAAAACACUUUCUUCCCCAAAGUCCAGUGAGC